rnacentral:tRNA from 2 species
AGGGGCGUAGGCUAACUGGCAAACCAUCGGUUUCCAAAACCGACUUUCUCGGUUCAAAUCCGGGCGCCCCUGCCA